rnacentral:rRNA from 1 species
AUGGAGCACGGGACGUCAUUGGCGGCGGCGCUCUGGGGGCACGAGCACCUCCCGCUGCUGGCCCGCGCGCGCUCCAAGGACUCGGUAGAGUACAUCCUGCAGGCCCUUUGGCGCACCCGCCGCACCGGCCUCGACGCCGCCGACCGCGCCAUCGUCCGCGACAUCCUCCAGCUCCCCUCCGACUCCNNNNNNNNNNNNCUCUUGGUGUGCCUCCGGAUAUUGACCCGCAGGUGCGUCCAUGACAACAUCGCGAAGGAGGAGAUUCCGAAGCUUUUCCCUGCAGAGGUGUUGCCCGAGCUGCAAAGGCUGCUCACUUUGCUCCUGCAGAAGUUUCAGCCGGAGUGGCGAGAGGACACCUUAAAGGAUCAGGCAUCCGCGGCGAAUUCGGGAACAACAGAAGGCCAUUUGAGUAAAAAUCAAGACGCGUUAGAGCAACCAGCUACUGCACAGAUUCACUGUGGUGCAUCAUCAACAAAGGUGUCGUCUGAAUCAGGAGAGAAAGAAGGGAAGCUACAGUUAGCUAAGGAUUCCUUAGACAAAAUGCUCAACGAUGUAUACCCAGUCAGGGGCAAAGUGUCAAAUGCUGUGAGGCAAUACCAACGGGGGUCAUGGAGAAGCAGCAAGAAGCACUUAGGAAAGGAUGAUUGUGCUGCUUCUUUUUUAGCUCCGAGGGCAUUUUUUAAAUCAUUGGUAGAUAACAUCUUUGCAACUAGAAUUAUUGUGUUCUUUAUCAGACAGAACGCAACUUCUGCCAUGUUCUUCGGUCUUUACUGGUCUACGCCCUAG